UGCAAGUCGAGCGGAUGACGGGAGCUUGCUCCUUGAUUCAGCGGCGGACGGGUGAGUAAUGCCUAGGAAUCUGCCUGGUAGUGGGGGACAACGUUUCGAAAGGAACGCUAAUACCGCAUACGUCCUACGGGAGAAAGCAGGGGACCUUCGGGCCUUGCGCUAUCAGAUGAGCCUAGGUCGGAUUAGCUAGUUGGUGGGGUAAUGGCUCACCAAGGCGACGAUCCGUAACUGGUCUGAGAGGAUGAUCAGUCACACUGGAACUGAGACACGGUCCAGACUCCUACGGGAGGCAGCAGUGGGGAAUAUUGGACAAUGGGCGAAAGCCUGAUCCAGCCAUGCCGCGUGUGUGAAGAAGGUCUUCGGAUUGUAAAGCACUUUAAGUUGGGAGGAAGGGCAGUAAGUUAAUACCUUGCUGUUUUGACGUUACCGACAGAAUAAGCACCGGCUAACUCUGUGCCAGCAGCCGCGGUAAUACAGAGGGUGCAAGCGUUAAUCGGAAUUACUGGGCGUAAAGCGCGCGUAGGUGGUUUGUUAAGUUGGAUGUGAAAGCCCCGGGCUCAACCUGGGAACUGCAUCCAAAACUGGCAAGCUAGAGUACGGUAGAGGGUGGUGGAAUUUCCUGUGUAGCGGUGAAAUGCGUAGAUAUAGGAAGGAACACCAGUGGCGAAGGCGACCACCUGGACUGAUACUGACACUGA
rnacentral:rRNA from 1 species